rnacentral:rRNA from 1 species
CAACGUAGGUAACCUGCCCAUGUGUCCGGGAUAACUGCUGGAAACGGUAGCUAAAACCGGAUAGGUAUACAGAGCGCAUGCUCAGUAUAUUAAAGCGCCCAUCAAGGCGUGAACAUGGAUGGACCUGCGGUGCAUUAGCUAGUUGGUGAGGUAACGGCCCACCAAGGCGAUGAUGCGUAGCCGGCCUGAGAGGGUAAACGGCCACAUUGGGACUGAGACACGGCCCAA